GACGAACGCUGGCGGCGUGCUUAACACAUGCAAGUCGAACGGUAAGGCCCUUCGGGUACGACGAGUGGCGAACGGGUGGAGUAACACGUGGGUGAUCUGCCUGCACUUCGGGAUAAGCCUGGGAAACUGGGUCUAAUACCGGAUAGGACCAUGGACUUCACGGUUUGUGGUGGAAAGCUUUUGCGGUGUGGGAUGGGCCCGCGGCCUAUCAGCUUGUUGGUGGGGUAAUGGCCUACCAAGGCGACGACGGGUAGCCGGCCUGAGAGGGUGUCCGGCCACACUGGGACUGAGAUACGGCCCAGACUCCUACGGGAGGCAGCAGUGGGGAAUAUUGCACAAUGGGCGCAAGCCUGAUGCAGCGACGCCGCGUGAGGGACGACGGCCUCGG
rnacentral:rRNA from 1 species